GAUGAACGCUGGCGGCGUGCCUAAUACAUGCAAGUCGAGCGAACAGACGAGGAGCUUGCUCCUCUGACGUUAGCGGCGGACGGGUGAGUAACACGUGGAUAACCUACCUAUAAGACUGGGAUAACUUCGGGAAACCGGAGCUAAUACCGGAUAAUAUAUUGAACCGCAUGGUUCAAUAGUGAAAGACGGUUUUGCUGUCACUUAUAGAUGGAUCCGCGCCGCAUUAGCUAGUUGGUAUGGUAACGGCUUACCAAGGCAACGAUGCGUAGCCGACCUGAGAGGGUGAUCGGCCACACUGGAACUGAGACACGGUCCAGACUCCUACGGGAGGCAGCAGUAGGGAAUCUUCCGCAAUGGGCGAAAGCCUGACGGAGCAACGCCGCGUGAGUGAUGAAGGUCUUCGGAUCGUAAAACUCUGUUAUUAGGGAAGAACAAAUGUGUAAGUAACUAUGCACGUCUUGACGGUACCUAAUCAGAAAGCCACGGCUAACUACGU
rnacentral:rRNA from 1 species